UCCCUGGUGGCUCAGAUGGCAAAGCGUCUGCCUGCAAUGCGGGAGACCCAGGUUCAAUCCCUGGGUGGGGAA
rnacentral:tRNA from 1 species